rnacentral:lncRNA from 1 species
AUAACUACAAGCACUAGCAACUCCACCAUCAAAAAAAGAAACCAUUCCCAUCAACUUGGCCAACAUUUCUAUUCUUCAAAAACCCUCCAAAAGUUUCCAUUAAAACCUAAAACAAAAACACAACCCCUCUUCAUAUUCUUUAUAUAAUCAUGUGGAAUAUAUUAGUAACAAUGAGGAAAAACUUACAAAAUAUGGGAAAAAGUCCAAGAGUUGGAGAUGAAAAUAUGAUUAAUAUUAGAGUUGAUCAAACUGCAGGAGGAAGAUCAUCAAGGCAGAAUUGGCAUGGUUUUUCGAUUAUAUAUGGCAUUUUACGCGCACCUAUUUAUUUGUUUUCGUGCUUAAAUCAUCCGCGGAUUAAUGGAACAGAUGGAGUUUGGGUUUCUGGAGAUUUUUCUCAAGUUUCUGAAAUGAAUCAUCUUAUGGUUAGUGAUAGUAUGAGGUAUGCAAUAUUAAUGUGAAAAAAGAAAAUGGUGAAGAAAUGAAAUGAAGACUUUUGUUAUAUAUAGUAAGGAUUAUGAGCACUCUCUUUUUUUUUUUUUUUUCUGUUUCUUAGUUAUGAUUUUUUUUUUUUGGUUAAAAAAAAGAAGAAACUUUUCUAGUAUUGUAUAGGGGAAGGGAAGGGAGACUGGAAUGAGCAUGUUAUCAAAAUCUUUGGUAGUUUAUCAGUUCUGUUGGGAGAGUUCAGGUCAUAAUUUUGUCUUUUGGAUUGGAAGUAAAUAAUGAAGGAACUAGUUAGACUAGUUUUUUUUUUUUUUCUUUUUUAUAAUUAUUGGGACAAAGUUUUGUAUUGAAGUUUGUUGAGAUAAUGAAUAAAAUUGCAUGAAUUUGGGGUCAUGAAAUUGAAAAAAAAAUUCAUUUUUCAUUUUCAUUUUAUUUUGGGGUUAAUGUUUGUGGUACAUUUUUUUUAUU